rnacentral:rRNA from 1 species
CCUACGGGGGGCAGCAGUGGGGAAUAUUGCACAAUGGGGGAAACCCUGAUGCAGCGACGCCGCGUGAGUGAAGAAGUAUUUCGGUAUGUAAAGCUCUAUCAGCAGGGAAGAAAAUGACGGUACCUGAUUAAUAAGCCCCGGCUAACUACGUGCCAGCAGCCGCGGUAAUACGUAGGGGGCAAGCGUUAUCCGGAUUUACUGGGUGUAAAGGGAGCGUAGACGGCAGCACAAGUCUGGAGUGAAAUGCCUGGGCUUAACCCGGGAACUGCUUUGGAAACUGUGCAGCUAGAGUGCGGGAGAGGUGAGUGGAAGUCCUAGUGUAGCGGUGAAAUGCGUAGAUAGUAGGAGGAACACCAGUGGCGAAGGCGGCUUACUGGACUGUAACUGACGUUGAGGCUCGAAAGCGUGGGGAGCAAACAGGAUUAGAUACCCCAGUAGUC